UACAUCAUCAAAAUCAUACAACAAACCCUAAAAACUAUCUUUUCUUCUUCUCAGCCGCUGACCCUCUUCACCUCUGCAUCUCCCCUUCGUAACCUUACUCCUCAUCUUCUUCCGUGUAGCCUCUUCACCCUUGCAUCUCCCCUUCGCAACCUUUCUCCUCAUCCUCUUCCGUGUAGCAGCUCUGCAUUUCCCCUUCGCAACUCUUCCGUGUAGCAGCUCUGCGAACCUUCCUCCUCAUCCUCUUCCGUGUAGCAUCUUCAGAUCUGCAUCUCCGUUCCAGGUUCAAUCUGUUUUUUUGUAGCUCUCAGGGCUUCCUCUUCCACUUCCUCUUCUUCAUUUUCUUCGAUUUUGUUUUGAAGAUUUGUGAAAUUAUUAGUGGGUUUUGAACGUUUUCUGGUUUUUAUCGAUUUCUGGGUUUAAUCGAUUAUGGGUUUUGAUUUACUUCUGGGAUUUCUGCAUUCUGAUUUAUUUCUGGGAUUUCUGGGUUUUAAUUUGAUCCACAAAUCAGUCAUAUUGUUUUAGGAGAAUGUUUGAUCCUGCAGAGAACAAUCGUCUUCCUCUGAGAAAAUCGUUUCGUGCAUGUCCUUCGAGAGGCCCUGUUGUUAUUCCCAACAUCGACCUCGUCGAUUAUGCCUAUCAAUUCGAGUUUUGGUGCAUACCCUCUACUUUGUUGAAGAAUCUUAUCAACUGAAUAAAAGCUCAAAGGCAGACAGACAAGAAGAAAGGACAACUGAUCACAUUAGUACCAUCUAUAUCGAGAUGAGGAUAUACUGGGAACACUGCACGACUGAUGUAUUGUUUGACCUAUGGUCGUGUUAAUUUUGUUCAUGAUUUAUCCUAGUGGAUUUAAGUUCCACAGCAUGGAGUCGAUCUUUGUCAAUGCCCUACUGUUUAAAUUUGUUAUGUGCUUAUAUAUUUAGAUUAAGGAGAACGUGUAAAACUGUUCUGCUAUUGGGCAAAUAAUUUGAAUGCAACUAAGACGUCUUUAAUAUGGAUCAAGUUUAUCUGAA